rnacentral:rRNA from 1 species
AACCUGCCCAAGAGAUCGGGAUAACACCUGGAAACAGAUGCUAAUACCGGAUAACAACAGAUGAUGCCUAUCAACUGUUUAAAAGAUGGUUCUGCUAUCACUCUUGGAUGGACCUGCGGUGCAUUAGCUAGUUGGUAGGGUAACGGCCUACCAAGGCGAUGAUGCAUAGCCGAGUUGAGAGACUGAUCGGCCACAUUGGGACUGAGACACGGCCCAAACUCCUACGGGAGGCAGCAAAC